rnacentral:rRNA from 1 species
GACGAACGCUGGCGGCGUGCUUAACACAUGCAAGUCGAACGGAAAGGCCCUGCUUUUGUGGGGUGCUCGAGUGGCGAACGGGUGAGUAACGCGUGAGUAACCUGCCCUUGACUUUGGGAUAACUUCAGGAAACUGGGGCUAAUACCGGAUAGGAGCUCCUGCUGCAUGGUGGGGGUUGGAAAGUUUCGGCGGUUGGGGAUGGACUCGCGGCUUAUCAGCUUGUUGGUGGGGUAGUGGCUUACCAAGGCUUUGACGGGUAGCCGGCCUGAGAGGGUGACCGGCCACAUUGGGACUGAGAUACGGCCCAGACUCCUACGGGAGGCAGCAGUGGGGAAUAUUGCACAAUGGGCGGAAGCCUGAUGCAGCAACGCCGCGUGCGGGAUGACGGCCUUCGGGCUGUAAACCGCUUUCGCCUGUGACGAAGCGUGAGUGACGGUAAUGGGUAAAGAAGCACCGGCUAACUACGUG